rnacentral:tRNA from 1 species
UGGGGUCUGGCUCAGCCGUAGAGCACUUGCCUAGCAUGUGUGAGGCACUGGGUUCGAUUCUCAGCACCCCAU